rnacentral:rRNA from 1 species
CAGUCGCCGCGGUAAUACGAAGGGGGCUAGCGUUGUUCGGAUUAACUGGGCGUAAAGGGUGCGUAGGCGGGGACUUAAGUCAGGGGUGAAAUCCCAAGGCUCAACCUUGGAACUGCCUUUGAUACUGGGUUUCUUGAGUCCGGGAGAGGUGAGUGGAACUGCGAGUGUAGAGGUGAAAUUCGUAGAUAUUCGCAAGAACACCAGUGGCGAAGGCGGCUCACUGGCCCGGUACUGGCGCUGAGGCACGAAAGCGUGGGGAGCAACAGGAUUAGAUACCCGAGUAGUCCCUGUCUCUUAUACA